GAUUCUGGCUCAGGAUGAACGCUAGCUACAGGCUUAACACAUGCAAGUCGAGGGCAGCAUGAGGUUGCUUGCAAACUUGAUGGCGACCGGCGCACGGGUGAGUAACGCGUAUCCAACCUUCCCCUUAGUAGGGCAUAGCCCGGCGAAAGUCGGAUUAAUACCCUAUGUUAUCCGAAGAGGACAUCUGAAUUGGAUUAAAGAUUCAUCGCUAAGGGAUGGGGAUGCGUCUGAUUAGGUAGUAGGCGGGGUAACGGCCCACCUAGCCGACGAUCAGUAGGGGUUCUGAGAGGAAGGUCCCCCACAUUGGAACUGAGACACGGUCCAAACUCCUACGGGAGGCAGCAGUGAGGAAUAUUGGUCAAUGGGCGCGAGCCUGAACCAGCCAAGUAGCGUGCAAGGAUGACGGCCCUAUGGGUUGUAAACUGCUUUUAUACAGGGAUAAAGUGAGCCACGUGUGGUUUUUUGCAGGUACUGUAUGAAUAAGGACCGGCUAAUUCCGUGCCAGCAGCUGC
rnacentral:rRNA from 1 species